GCUAGUUGCUUAUAGUUCCGUACGCAUCCAGUCUCUACAAAAAAUUCAUUCGAAGCCCCGAUCUGAUCGGUCUUCUCGAGAAUGCUAGCUCUCAUGAAGACCUUCUUCUUGACUUAUCUGAAUCCUUUCUUUAAAUCUUUAGAAUCUUUUUAGAGAUUGAGGAUGGACUUUUGGAGGAUAUGAAGAGGUGGAAGAAAGAUGGAGAGGUAAAUAUUUUUUUCUCUUCCCAAACCC
rnacentral:lncRNA from 1 species